rnacentral:lncRNA from 1 species
AUGCCGACCCCACAGCCCUCGCCCCGUCCCUCCCUCCCUCCCUCCCUCCCCGAAAGGGAGCCUCGUGGCAGCUCGGGUGAUGAAACACCGGGCAACGGCGGGCGCAUCGGGGCGCGCUCCGCCGCCACCGCGUCCGCCCAGUGUCGGGGGCAGCGGCCCGAGGCCGCCGGCCCGCACCCCUCCCCGGCGGGGCUCCCGGGCCCGCACCCGUCUCCGGCCCGGCCCGCACCCCUCCCCGCCCCGCCCCCGCCCUCCGCGGCCCGCGCACCCCUCCCGGGUCUGCGCCCCCCUGCGCGGCCCGCCCCGCCCGCCCCCGGGCCCGCGCGCCCGGCCAGCUCCCCGCAGCCCCGAGCCCCGAGUCACCUUCCCUACGGCUCCAUCCCGCCUCCCCGCCCGCACUCCCGAGGGCGGGCCAGCGCAGCGCGGAGAGCGGCCCUCGGCCCGGUCGCCGUCGUCCUCCGCCGCGGCCGGAGCCCGAGCUGCCGGGGCCGCGCGCCCCUCCGCGUCCCCCGGCGCCUUGUCUUGCGUGGCGCCCGGCCGGCAGGCGAGCCAGCAGGCGGGCGGGGUCGGCGCCCCAGGAAGGGAAAGAGCGCGAGGGCCCGGCUAACGCCGCCGCCGCCGCCUCCGCCGCCGCUGAGUCAGCGCGAAGCGCGCUCCCCGCGUCGGCGCCGCGCGGGCCAGCAGCCCCAGCAGCCUCAUGGAGAGCGGGGACCGCGGCCCGCGGACCCCGGCCGGACGCCUACAACUCCCGGCGUGCAACGGGCGGCGGGGGCGCUUCCGGGCGCCCCGCGGGGCCUGCGGUGCAUGCCGGGACGGGGCGCCUGGCGCCGGGCGCCGGCCCCUCCCCCGCCGCCGGGCCUCGCGGGGGGCGUGGCCGCGGGGGGCGGCGAGAACGGCGCGGCCGGGGCCCGGCUGGGGCGCUGCGGGCCGCGCGGGGUCGGUGGCUCGUGGCUCCGCCGUGGGCCCGCGUGCCUAGCGCCCCGCAGGCUUCGCACGCGCCGUCCUGGGUGA